AAGAAGCGCAAUGUGAUCCUCUCGGCGAUCAU
rnacentral:scRNA from 1 species